rnacentral:rRNA from 1 species
UACGUAGGGUGCGAGCGUUGUCCGGAAUUAUUGGGCGUAAAGAGCUUGUAGGCGGUUUGUCGCGUCUGCUGUGAAAAUCCGGGGCUCAACCCCGGACUUGCAGUGGGUACGGGCAGACCUAGAGUGUGGUAGGGGAGACUGGAAUUCCUGGUGUAGCGGUGGAAUGCGCAGAUAUCAGGAGGAACACCGGUGGCGAAGGCGGCUCUCUGGACGGUGACUGACGCUGAGACGCGAAAGCGUGGGGAGCGAACAGG